rnacentral:lncRNA from 1 species
CUCGGACCGGAUCGGCCAGUUCGAUCCGGAACCCGUCGAGCCGGACCCAAAUCCGAUCCGAUUGUAAAGGAAUUUAUGGCGAAUAAACAACCCGUUUGAACCGCUGGUUUUACACAAAACCCGAUUACCAACUUUUCCUUGACCCGAUCGGGUCUUAAGCAGCCUGUGUUUCACUUUCCUUACAGAUUCCAGUUUCCCCACUCCCGUCUCCUCACAGCUUCUAAGAUUCUUGCAAAAUUAAAAAUCUCAGCCACCGUCUCCAGUCUCCUAACGGCUUCUUCUCACUCAUGGAACAAACAGUGCCACUAUGGUCACCUGAGAUCUGGAAUCUUUCAUCUGAACUUAACACCAGAAAGAAUCCCAGUGAAAGAUCUCAAGAUUUUCACAGCUAAUUCCUCAGCAAAGACAGGCUAUUAUUUUUCAAUGGCUUGUUAAGUAGGCUUUGAAGCUAGGCUGUAAAAUUCUUUACCUUUCACUAAAUCUUUAAUCAAUCGUUUCCUCUUUAUAAGUAGGGUUUCAUUCAAAAUGCUCAUUUUUUCUCGCUCAGUGUGUAAAUUUUUUAGAUCUGGUUUCGAGGGGAAGAAGGGUUUGCUAUGGUUUAGAUCUUGUUUUUAGAUCUCACUCAGCAUUUUUGUUUUUAUUAAGAGCAUAGGGGCAAGUGCCAAGUAGGAGAAGAUGGCUCAGUGACUCAUUUUGUCUGUUGUGUUAGGA